rnacentral:rRNA from 1 species
GACGAACGCUGGCGGCGUGCUUAACACAUGCAAGUCGAACGGGCCUUGUCCCCUUUUUUUUGGGGGUGGGGUUAGUGGCGAACGGGUGAGUAACACGUGAGUAACCUGCCCCUCACUUCUGGAUAACCGCUUGAAAGGGUGGCUAAUACGGGGUGUUCUGGCCUGCUCGCAUGGGUGGGUUUGGAAAGAUUCGACCGGUUUUGGUUGUUUUGGUGGGGGGUGGGCUCGCGGCCUAUCAGCUUGUUGGUGGGGUGAUGGCCUGCCAAGGCUUUGACGGGUAGCCGGCCUGAGAGGGUGGGCGGUCACACUGGGACUGAGACACGGCCCAGACUCCUACGGGAGGCAGCAGUGGGGAAUAUUGCACAAUGGGCGCAAGCCUGAUGCAGCGACGCCGCGUGAGGGAUGGAGGCCUUCGGGUUGUGAACCUCUUUCGCCAGUGAAGAAGGUCCUGCUCUUUGUGGUGGGGUUGACGGUAGCUGGGUUAAUGAAGCGCCGGCUAACUACGUG